rnacentral:rRNA from 1 species
AUUGAACGCUGGCGGUAGGCCUAACACAUGCAAGUCGAGCGGAAGCAGAGAGCUUGCUCCUGGAUACAGCGGCGGACGGGUGGGUAAGGCAGAGGAACCUGCCUGGUUGCGUUGGCUAAGGGGCGGAAACGGGGGCUAAUACGGCAUACGCCCUUACGGAGUAAGGGGGGGAUCUGCGGAUCUUCCGCUAUCAGACGAUCCUAGGUCGGAUUAGCUAGUUGGUGGGGUAAAGGCCUACCAAGGCGACGAUCCGUAACUGGUCUGAGAGGAUGAUCAGUCACACUGGAACUGAGACACGGUCCAGACUCCUACGGGAGGCAGCAGUGGGGAAUAUUGGACAAUGGGCGAAAGCCUGAUCCAGCCAUGCCGCGUGUGUGAAGAAGGUCUUCGGAUUGUAAAGCACUUUUAGUUGGGAAGAAGGGCAGUAAGUUAAUACCUUGCUGUUUUGACGUUACCAAAAGAAUAAGCACCGGCUAACUUCGUG